AAAAAAAAAAAAAAAAAAAAAAAUCUCCCUGGUGCACUUUCCUAGGAAGGGUAUGGGCUUCCAUAAAUUGAAGGACUAAUCCAAGAAAGAGGAACCGUGGACUCAGGAAUAGGAGCAGGGAGAGAGGUAACUGGUGUCCCAGGGUGAGAGCUGUGUCGCAGCAGACAGACAGGCCUUCUAGAGUGUAACAGGAAGAAGAAGAGCUGUAGGACAAAGGUCUCCAAGAAAAAGCUUAAGCUGAUGGAUCACCUGCUGGGGACUGAAUUCUUGUUAGGUUCCUAGAAAGCAGACAAACAAAAACUUAAGACAAUUAACUCUAGGGAAAGAAAACUCCAAGAAAGAAAAUACAACCAUAGUCUAUGACAUGGCUCAGGUUAAAUAAUAUGUAUAUAAUAAUAUUAUUACAAACACUGAAUUCUUCUCUGAUUAAAAACUAGGAUAUGACUUUUUUUUUGAAGAUUUUAUUUUUAAGUAAUCUCUACACCCAACAUGGGGCUUGAACUCACAACCUGAGAUCAAGCGUUGAAUGCUCCACCCACUGAGCCAGCCGGGCACCCGAGGGUAACUUUUUCAGGGAGGAAGAGGAAGAGUUGUGUUUGGGGAUGGAAGUAUAAGAGUUAAAUUCUCAUUUUCUGUUUUAUGAAAUUGUACAGAAAGCUGAAAAAAAUCAAGAAAUGGCUGUACAAGCAUGUUACUGAGAAACAAGGAGGUACAUACCAGUAGAAAUGGCUGAAAGACUUGAAAAUGAAUAAAUCUGAGAAGCGGGUCCAGAGUGUAAUGAGCUCAACCUAACAAAACCGCUGCCUCUCAUGUGACAUGAGGAUUAAAUGCAGUCUGCUGCAUUGUACGCAAGGAGCAUCCUGCUACAUGAAAACUAGACCUGGGAGUGAGUCACUCAGACCUUGUAGAACAAAGGCAAUACCCUUGGAAGGCAGAGCAACCAAACAGAAAGAGCCUGGAUUAUCCUGGAUCAUCUAGGUCCGCUGUGGACUGAUUAUGUCUAGAUGCUUAUAUAAUCAAGAGAUAACCUCCCUUUUAGGUUCAGCCAUUGUUGUUUGGGUCUCUUUUGAAGCACUUAAACUGAUAUCCUAAUGAAUGAGCGGUGUGUGUGAGGGAGAAAGGAACCAGGUACUUCUGCAAAGAGAUUUCUGGAUGGGAUGGCAUUGACUGAGAUGGGCAGUCCAAGUCACGAUGGGUGGUUUGGGGGGACAUGUUGUUUUUGAGGUGGGCCUAGGGGGAAACUGCCCUGUUCCUCUGGAGCCCAGGAGAGAAGUUGGAAAUAUUAGUUUGGAAAUUGCACGUGUAUAUACAAUUACAAUUACUGUAACCAUGGGGAAAGUGUGCUCAUCCUGGGAAGACACGUAGAUACAGAAAAAAAGGAUUCUAUUAGCCAAGUGUAUCAGGAAAUGGUGAGGACACUGAUACUCAUGCCUAUUAUGACCACUGACAACACACUUCUCCACGUGCCAGGCAAGCCCUGAGCUAAACACUUCAAGCGGGUCAUUUUUAUCCUCAGGAUAACCCCUUUGGUGGAUUUUAUUAGUCCAAUUUACUGAUGAGAAAACCAAGGCUUAGAAGGCAGAGCUGGGAUUUGAACCCAUGUCCGAUCAACUUCAAAGUCUGUGUUUCUAACCGUUACUCCAUAAAUCUAAACAUAGUUUUUUUAAACUUAUGUUUGCAGGUAUAUAGAGUUGUCAAAAUUCAUCAUACUGUAGACUUCAGGUGCAUGCAUUUUAUUGUAUAUAAAUUAUAAGUCAAUAAAGCUGACUUUUAAAAGUA